UACGUAGGGGGCGAGCGUUGUCCGGAGUUACUGGGCGUAAAGGGCUCGUAGGCGGUUUGUCGCGUCGGGAGUGAAAACUCAGGGCUUAACCCUGAGCCUGCUUCCGAUACGGGCAGACUAGAGGUAUGCAGGGGAGAACGGAAUUCCUGGUGUAGCGGUGAAAUGCGCAGAUAUCAGGAGGAACACCGGUGGCGAAGGCGGUUCUCUGGGCAUUACCUGACGCUGAGGAGCGAAAGUGUGGGGAGCGAACAGG
rnacentral:rRNA from 1 species